rnacentral:rRNA from 1 species
UGGGGAAUAUUGGGCAAUGGGCGAAAGCCUGACCCAGCAACGCCGCGUGAAGUAUGAAGGCCUUCGGGUUGUAAACUUCUUUGAUCAGGGAAGAAACAAAUGACGGUACCUGAAAAACAAGCCACGGCUAACUACGUGCCAGCAGCCGCGGUAAUACGUAGGUGGCGAGCGUUAUCCGGAUUUACUGGGUGUAAAGGGCGUGCAGGCGGGCUGAUACGUCAGAUGUGAAAUCCCCGAGCUUAACUCGGGAACUGCAUCUGAUACUGUUGGUCUUGAGUGCUGGAGAGGAUAGUGGAAUGCCUAGUGUAGCGGUAAAAUGCGCAGAGAUUAGGGGGAGCACCAGUGGCGAAGGCGGCUAUCUGGACAGUAACUGACGCUGAGGCGCGAAAGCGUGGGUAGCAAACAGA